rnacentral:rRNA from 1 species
CCUACGGGGGGCUGCAGUGGGGAAUAUUGGACAAUGGGGGGAACCCUGAUCCAGCCAUGCCGCGUGUGUGAAGAAGGCCCUCGGGUUGUAAAGCACUUUCAGUGAGGAAGAACGCCUGGUGGUUAAUACCCAUCAGGAAAGACAUCACUCACAGAAGAAGCACCGGCUAACUCCGUGCCAGCAGCCGCGGUAAUACGGAGGGUGCGAGCGUUAAUCGGAAUUACUGGGCGUAAAGCGCGCGUAGGUGGCUUGAUAAGCCGGUUGUGGAAGCCCCGGGCUCAACCUGGGAACGGCAUCCGGAACUGUCAAGCUAGAGUGCAGGAGAGGAAGGUAGAAUUCCCGGUGUAGCGGUGAAAUGCGUAGAGAUCGGGAGGAAUACCAGUGGCGAAGGCGGCCUUCUGGACUGACACUGACACUGAGGUGCGAAAGCGUGGGUAGCAAACAGGAUUAGAUACCCCUGUAGUC